rnacentral:rRNA from 1 species
AUCGAACGCUGGCGGCAGGCCUAACACAUGCAAGUCGUACGAGUGGCGGACGGGUGAGUAAUGUCUGGGAAACUGCCUGUUGGUGGGGGAUACCUACUGGAAACGGCAGCUCAUACCGCAUACCAUCGGAUGUGCCCAGAUGGGAUUAGCUAGUAGGUGGGGUAACGGCUCACCUAGGCGACGAUCCCUAGCUGGUCUGAGAGGAUGACCAUCCACACUGGAACUGAGACACGGUCCAGACUCCUACGGGAGGCAGCAGUGGGGAAUAUUGCAAGAUGGGGGCAAGCCUGAUGCAGCCUUGGAGCGUGAGUGAAUGAUGCCUUCGGGUUGUGAAGUACUUUCAGCGGGGAGGCGUUACCCGCAGAAGUAGCACCGGCUAAGUCCGUGCCAGCAGCCGCGGUAAUUC